rnacentral:rRNA from 1 species
UACGUAGGUGGCAAGCGUUGUCCGGAUUUACUGGGCGUAAAGAGCGCGCAGGCGGUCGUUCAAGUCGCGUGUGAAAGCCCCCGGCUCAACUGGGGAGGGUCACGCGAUACUGAUCGACUCGAAGGCAGGAGAGGGUAGUGGAAUUCCCGGUGUAGUGGUGAAUGCGUAGAUAUCGGGAGGAACACCAGUGGCGAAGGCGACUACCUGGCCUGUUCUUGACGCUGAGGCGCGAAAGCUAGGGGAGCAA